UAUCACUAAGCGGNAGCAAACGGGUCCCUGCCUUGCCCUACGUCUGGAACACUAGGAGCACGCUAUCUUGAGUUAGCACUCUUCGACUAUGUUCCUUGGAAACAGGACGUCNCAGAGGGUGAGAAUCCCGUGCGAUGAGGUGUCCAAAUUCUUAUAAGAUUCCUUCGAAGAGUCGAGUUGUUUGGGAAUGCAGCUCUAAGUGGGUGGUAAAUUCCAUCUAAAGCUAAAUAUUGGCGAGAGACCGAUAGCGAACAAGUACAGUGAUGGAAAGAUGAAAAGAACUUUGAAAAGAGAGUGAAAAAGUACGUGAAAUUGUUGAAAGGGAAGGGUAUUAGAUCAGACUUGGUAUUUAGUUAUCACUUCUCCUUGUGGGUUGUGCUCUAGCUGUUUACUGGGCCAGCAUCAGUUUUGGUGGCAGGAUAAUGACAUUUGAACGUGGCUCUUCGGAGUGUUAUAGCUUUUGUUGAUACUGCCCACCGGGACUGAGGUCUGCGGCUUUUGCCUAGGAUGCUGGCGUAAUGAUCCAAUACC
rnacentral:rRNA from 1 species